rnacentral:ncRNA from 1 species
ACAAAGACGUUGAAAGGAAAUAGUAAGAGUGGUAAUAAGCUGAGAGAGACCUUGGUUGGUGAAAAAGGUACUUAUGACAUUCUGAACUCAUCCUAGAGUGGAGCGCUGAAAUCAUAGUAAGUAGCUACGGAUCCCGCACCCGUUAUCGUGCUAGAGUAUGUUAGUACUCGAAAAGGUUGGCAUCGUGAGGUGUCAAUAAAUUGAGGUGGAACCACGAAGUUUAGACUCUCGUCCUCUUG